UCAUCUGCUUUGUUGGGUCUGCUGGAUUGGUCGUGUUUGCUGGGCAGGCUAGGUUUCGUUCCAAUUGCUGGUCAAUCGGAUGGUAGUUUGUUGCUCGUCAUCUACUAGCCUUCUUUUGUGGCUCUUUUGAGUUGUGAUAUAGGUUCUAGGCAAGCAGUGGAUUCGACUUUCAUCUUUUCUCUUGCGAGGAGGUUACCAGUUUUAUGUCUGUAGAUGGCUGAAGAUGGGUCGACGAGGGUCCGUGUGUAAGAGGUGUUUGUCUUCCUUGGCUUGUCUCUGGUCGAAUCUCAAGGUUUUUUUCCUUGUGCUUAGUUUUUGCUCGCUUUCCUCGGCUGUUCUCUGUAUGUCCUGAUAUUGGUGGCUUCUGUUUCUAUGUUAUCGUUUGAGUCCUGCUUUCGCUCCUGUCGGUCUUGAUGAAGGGUUGUCUACGGUGGGCUAUCUAAGUAUAUACCCCUUCCGGUCUAUUGGGUUCUCUCCAGCGUUUACCUGUGCUAUGGGAAGCUUUGUGGGUUUCACUCCGUUUCAGUGGGCAGUUUUUUGUGCUUUGGGUUUUGCUCGCUUCUCAAGUGAAUUGAUUCCUUAGGUUUUUGUCUUUUCUUUAUCAUGAUGUUUAAUCCUCGUAUCUGGAGGUUUGCUACCUGCCAGCUUUGGUUUCCCUUUUUUGGGCUUUAGCUUCCGGAGAUUUCUCCUUUUUCUUCCGGCAUUAAUUUUUAUCAAG
rnacentral:lncRNA from 1 species